AAACUUUCAACAACGGAUCUCUUGGUUCUGGCAUCGAUGAAGAACGCAGCGAAAUGCGAUUAGUAAUGUGAAUUGCAGAAUUCAGUGAAUCAUCGAAUCUUUGAACGCACAUUGCGCCCCUUGGUAUUCCGAGGGGCAUGCCUGUUCGAGCGUCAUUA
rnacentral:rRNA from 1 species